GACGAACGCUGGCGGCGUGCUUAACACAUGCAAGUCGAACGGAAAGGCCCUGCUUGCAGGGUACUCGAGUGGCGAACGGGUGAGUAACACGUGGGUGAUCUGCCCUGCACUUCGGGAUAAGCCUGGGAAACUGGGUCUAAUACCGGAUAGGAGCCAUUUUUAGUGGGUUGGUUGGAAAGUUUUUUGGGUGUAGGAUGAGCUAGCGGCCUAUCAGCUUGUUGGUGGGGUAAUGGCCUACCAAGGCGGCAACGGGUAGCCGGCCUGCGGGGGUGAACGGCCACAUUGGGACUGAGAUGCGGCCCAGACUCCUACGGGAGGCAGCAGUGGGGAAGCUUGCACAAUGGGCGCAAGCCUGAUGCAGCGAGGCCGCGGGGGGGAUGACGGCCUUCUGGUUGUAAACACCUUUCGCUAGGGACGAAGCUUGUUGUGACGGUACCUAGAGAAGAAGCACCGGCUAACUACGUG
rnacentral:rRNA from 1 species